CACGUAGGGCGCGAGCGUUGUCCGGAAUUAUUGGGCGUAAAGAGCUCGUAGGCGGCCUGUUGCGUCCGCUGUGAAAGCCCGGGGCUCAACUCCGGAAUUGCCUUUAAGACUGCAUCGCUCGAAUUGUGGAGAGGUAAGUGGAAUUCCGAGUGUAGAGGUGAAAUUCGUAGAUAUUCGGAAGAACACCAGUGGCGAAGGCGACUUACUGGACACGUAUUGACGCUGAGGUGCGAAAGCGUGGGGAGCAAACAGG
rnacentral:rRNA from 1 species